AAACAGGUGCUAAUACCGGAUACGUUCUUUUCUCGCAUGAGAGAAGAUGGAAAGACGGUUUACUGCUGUCACUUAUAGAUGGGCCCGCGGCGCAUUAGCUAGUUGGUGAGGUAAUGGCUCACCAAGGCGACGAUGCGUAGCCGACCUGAGAGGGUGAUCGGCCACACUGGGACUGAGACACGGCCCAGACUCCUACGGGAGGCAGCAGUAGGGAAUCUUCCACAAUGGACA
rnacentral:rRNA from 1 species